UUGGAGGGCAAGUCUGGUGCCAGCAGCCGCGGUAAUUCCAGCUCCAAUAGCGUAUAUUAAAGUUGUUGCAGUUAAAAAGCUCGUAGUUGAAUUUCGGGGUUAGUAGGUUGGUCAUGCCUCUGGUAUGUACUGGUCUCACUGAUUCCUCCUUCCUUAUGAACCGUAAUGCCAUUAAUUUGGUGUUGCGGGAAUUUGGACUGUUACUUUGAAAAAUUAGAGUGUUUAAAGCAAGCUAACGCUUGAAUACAUUAGCAUGGAAUAAUGAAAUAGGUACG
rnacentral:rRNA from 1 species